CCUGUGGAUCGUUACAUAAACGAAAGUAGUUUUAAAUGAAGAUAUUUAAAUCCCAAAUAUUGACAUUUUUAACAAAAUCGAACGGGAUGAAGCAGGAA
rnacentral:sRNA from 12 species